rnacentral:rRNA from 1 species
UACGUAGGGUGCGAGCGUUGUCCGGAAUUAUUGGGCGUAAAGGGCUCGUAGGCGGUUUGUCGCGUCGGGAGUGAAAUCCACUGGCUUAACUGGUGGCUUGCUUUCGAUACGGGCAGACUGGAGGUAUGCAGGGGAGAACGGAAUUCCCGGUGUAGCGGUGAAAUGCGCAGAUAUCGGGAAGAACACCCGUGGCGAAGGCGGCCCGCUGGGCAGUGGCUGACGCUGAGGCGCGACAGCGUGGGGAGCAAACAGG